AUGGAAGAUGAUUCGUCAUGGGAAGCUCUUCCAAUUGAGCGCAUCAGAAUUCCUGCAUUCAACUUUCGAGUUAUUUCAGAGGCUAGCAAUGGAGAAAAUGAAUUGCCAGUUUCAUUGGAUGCCGCAGUUCCUGAUGACAUUCUUGAGAAAAUUUUCACCUUCUUGCCAAUAGCAAGCAUGAUAAGGUCAACAGCGGUAUGCAAGAGAUGGCAUGAUAUUAUCUACUCAAGCCGGUAUCUUUGGACCCACAUGUUGCCUCAGAGGCCCUGGUACUUCAUGUUCACCUGUAACGAGACUGCUUCUGGAUAUGCUUAUGACCCCAUCCUCCAUAAAUGGUAUGAUUUAGAGCUUCAAGGCAUUGACAAGAGCAGCUGUUUCGUCUCUUCUUCUUGUGGGCUAGUUUGCUUCAUGGAUAAUGACAACAGAAACAUCAUUUCUGUAUCUAACCCUAUUACAAAAGAUUGGAAGAGGCUGUUGGAGCCCCCAGGUGCAAAGUUUCCAGAUUACAGCACUGUUGCCUUAAAGGUAGAUCAGGUGACUCACAAUUACACUGUUACAUUGGCAAAAUCGAAGCAGGUACCUGAGGAUUAUGUCCAAUGGGAAUUCUCUUUAUACAAGUACGACUCACGGAGUAGUUCAUGGGUAACUGCAGUGAAGGAGGUGUUCAUUGGUUGGAGAGGGGGUGACGAUAGUGUGAUAUGUGGUGGAGUCUUGUACUGCUUGAUCCAGUCCACAGGUGUUCUUGGCAAUGUUGAGCCCCGUCACAGGCUCAUCAUGUAUGACCUUGUUGCGGGACCUUCUGAAACUUCACUAACGCAAUCCUCAAUCCCUGUACCUUGCUCUCUCACCUGCGGGCGUCUACUAAACCUGAGAGGGAAGCUGGUAAUGGUCGGCGGGAUAGCAAAGCCCAAUAGACCUGAUAUCAUCAAGGGAAUCGGUAUAUGGGAGCUUGACAAGACACAGUGGCAAGAGGUGAGUCGGAUGCCUCACAAAUUCUUCCAAGGAUUUGGUGAGUUGGAUGAUGUUUUUUGUAGCGGCGGUGCCGACGACCUUGUGUACAUCCAAAGCUAUGGUGCAACUGCUUUGCUUGGAUUUGACAUGAAGCAGAGGCAAUGGAAGUGGUCGGCAAAAUGCCCUGUGAGCAAAAAGUUUCCUCUCCAGCUGUUCACUGGCUUUUGCUUUGAGCCUCGGCUGGACAUUGCCACUUAA
rnacentral:rRNA from 1 species